AAAAAAGACAGGACCGAGAGGAGGAUUUAAAGACUGUGUGGGAGGCGUGGUCAGAGCAACAAUAACAAUGACCAGUCUUUGUUAGAUGCCUACUGCUCCUCAGGCAGUAAUCCCAUUGAAUACACCUCCUCAAACACAGGCCCACAUGUGAUGAAGACAGGAUUCUAAGGUUUGGCACUUCUUCAAAUUGGAUUAGUUGGAGGAUGUUUCAAAGUUGGAAAGUUAUGUGUGUUACCCUUGGCACUGGAUGAUUGCAACAGUAAGUGGCAACUGGGAUAUUUCUCCAGAGCUUCUACAACAACAAAUUGAGAGUUUCACAAGCACCUGGGGCCCAGCAGACGUUGGGAAGCCUAUUCUGGGACUCGCCUCCAUCUAAAUGAUUUGAAAAUUCAGCUCCUGAACACAGCCAGAUUGCUGUCAGCAAUUCGAAUAAGUUUUAACAACACUGGAUCCACCUCAAGGUUAUUUCUUCAAUAUCAUACAGAAAAUAUUGUAAAUGAAGGAAAUAUGAUGCAAAGUGGUA
rnacentral:lncRNA from 10 species